rnacentral:rRNA from 1 species
UACGUAGGUGGCGAGCGUUAUUCGGAUUUACUGGGCGUAAAGGGUUCGUAGGGGGUCAUAUAAGCUCGGUGUGAAAUCCACAGGCUCAACCUGUGAACUGCACUGAGAACUGUAUGACUGGAGUUCUGGAGAGGUAAGUGGAAUUUGUGGUGUAGCGGUGGAAUGCGUAGAUAUCACAAGGAACAUCGAUGGCGAAGGCAGCUUACUGGACAGAUACUGACCCUGAGGAACGAAAGCUAGGGUAGCGAAAAGG